GCUAGGCGUGGUGGCGGGCACCUGUAAUCCCAGCUACUUGGGAGGCUGAGGUGGGAGAAUCACUUGAACCCAGGAGGUGGGGGUUGCAGUGAGCCGAGAUCAUGCCACUGCACUCCACCCUGGGUGACAGAGUGAGACCCCAUUUCAA
rnacentral:SRP_RNA from 1 species